rnacentral:ncRNA from 1 species
AUCAACCGUUGCGCAGGAGGCGCUUCGGAGGUCAAGGAUGAUCACCAUUGCCGGGACGGCUACUGACAGGAUGUCGGAAUGGU